AGAGUUUGAUCAUGGCUCAGGAUGAACGCUGGCGGUAUGCCUAACACAUGCAAGUCGUACGAGAGUUUUUAACUCAAGUGGCGGACGGGUGAGUAACACGUGAGAAUCUGCCUUUAGUAGGGGGAUAACAACUGGAAACGGUUGCUAAUACCCCAUAUGCUUUCGAGUGAAAUAGAUUUAUCUGCCUAGAGAGGAGCUCGCGGCUGAUUAGCUUGUUGGUAGGGUAAUGGCCUCCCAAGGCGACGAUCAGUAUCUGGUUUGAGAGGACGAUCAGACACACUGGAACUGAGACACGGUCCAGACUCCUACGGGAGGCAGCAGUGGGGAAUUUUCCGCAAUGGGCGAAAGCCUGACGGAGCAAUACCGCGUGAGGGAAGACUGCCUAUGGGUUGUAAACCUCUUUUCUCAGGGAGGAACUCAAUGACGUGUACCUGAGGAAUAAGCAUCGGCUAACUCCGUGCCAGCAGCCGCGGUAAGACGGAGGAUGCAAGUGUUAUCCGGAAUCACUGGGCGUAAAGCGUCUGUAGGUGGUUUAAUAAGUCAACUGUUAAAUCUUGAGGCUCAACUUCAAAAUCGCAGUCGAAACUAUUAGACUAGAGUAUAGUAGGGGUAAAGGGAAUUUCCAGUGGAGCGGUGAAAUGCGUAGAGAUUGGAAAGAACACCGAUGGCGAAGGC
rnacentral:rRNA from 1 species